GCUGCAGGACGGUAGGGCUGUUAAAAGUGGAAGAGCAGCCCUCCAUUGAGACAGUGACACGUAAGAAAAAACACAAUAAAAUAGUUAGAUCUCACCGCACAGAAUCACCACACGCAAGAGGCAAAAAUUGUUGUUCUUCGAGUUCUCUUCCCCUUUUCGUCUAUCUCCAAGCUCUCAAGCCCGUCUCUUUGCACCUCCACCAAGAAGGAAUCAUCUGUGCUCAAAUUGGAUGAUAAUUACGACGAUGCAAAAGUGAAAAAAACGAAUUCAACGAUCUAUGUGGCUGAGAAUCACAAAGAAGAAAAGUACCAGAUAGAUUUGAUGGUGAUGAGCUUAUAAAGACCACUUUCUUCACCGAAAUCUUCAUAUGAAAUUUUACCUUUUUUCUUUGGUUUGGUUUUGCAAGUUCCUCCUCUUGUCUGAGGAAUUUCCAUCGGUUUGAAGAAGCCCAGUUCAGGAAACAGAACUCAUAUCAGAGAUCUUAUUUUAUUUU